ensembl:snRNA U6 U6 spliceosomal RNA
GUACUCGUGUCGGCAGCACAUAUACUGAAGUUGGAACGAUAAAGAGAUCAGCAUGGCUCCUGCACAAGGAUGACACGCAAAUUUGUGAAGCAUUCCUUAUUUAU